rnacentral:rRNA from 1 species
CCUACGGGUGGCUGCAGUGGGGAAUAUUGGACAAUGGGGGAAACCCUGAUCCAGCAAUGCCGCGUGUGUGAAGAAGGCCUGCGGGUUGUAAAGCACUUUCGGUUGGGAAGAAAAGUUUGGCGCCAAUACCGCCGAACCUUGACGUUACUGACAGAAGAAGCACCGGCUAACUCUGUGCCAGCAGCCGCUGUAAUACAGCGGGUAAAAGCGUUAAUCGGAAUGACUGGGGGUAAAGCGGCAAUUCGUGUGUGAAAUCCCCGGGCUUAACCUGGGAACUGCAUUCGAUACUACAUGGCUAGAGUAUGGUAGAGGGAAGUGGAAUUUCCGGUGUAGCGGUGAAAUGCGUAGAUAUCGGAAGGAACACCAAUGGCGAAGGCAGCUUCCUGGACUAAUACUGACACUGAGGCACGAAAGCGUGGGUAGCAAACAGGAUUAGAUACCCGUGUAGUC